GACGAACGCUGGCGGCGUGCCUAACACAUGCAAGUCGAACGGAAAGGCCCUGCUCUUGUGGGGUGCUCGAGUGGCGAACGGGUGAGUAACACGUGAGUAACCUGCCCUUGACUUUGGGAUAACUUCAGGAAACUGGGGCUAAUACCGGAUAGGAGCUCUUGCUGCAUGGUGGGGGUUGGAAAGUUUCGGCGGUUGGGGAUGGACUAGCGGCUUAUCAGCUUGUUGGUGGGGUAGUGGCUUACCAAGGGUUUGACGGGUAGCCGGCCUGAGAGGGUGACCGGGCACAUUGGGACUGAGAUACGGCCCAGUCUCCUACGGGAGGCAGCAGUGGGGAAUAUUGCACAAUGGGCGGAAGCCUGAUGCAGCAACGCCGCGUGCGGGAUGACGGCCUUCGGGUUGUAAACCGCUUUCGCCUGUGACGAAGCGUGAGUGACGGUAAUGGGUAAAGAAGCACCGGCUAACUACGUG
rnacentral:rRNA from 1 species